UACGGAGGAUUCAAGCGUUAUCCGGAUUUAUUGGGUUUAAAGGGUGCGCAGGCGGCGAGUUAAGUCAGCGGUAAAAUUUCGGGGCUCAACCCCGACAAGCCGUUGAAACUGGCUUGCUAGAGUGGGCGAGAAGUAUGCGGAAUGCGUGGUGUAGCGGUGAAAUGCAUAGAUAUCACGCAGAACUCCGAUAGCGAAGGCAGCUUACCAGACUGCGACUGACGCUGAAGCACGAGAGCGUGGGUAGCGAACAGG
rnacentral:rRNA from 1 species